rfam:Tumebacillus flagellatus strain GST4 Contig032, whole genome shotgun sequence.
CAACUGAAUAUGCUGCGACCGUAGACAGCGGGUGCGCAAGCUGAAUGGCUUCGCUUAAUACCCCGCCGAGGACGAACAUCGAUUCACCUUGGUUGUGAAACGUAUGCCCUCGUAGGUCAACUGCGAGGGCUUUUGUCUGCGACG